GAUGAAGAACGCAGCGAAAUGCGAUACUUGGUGUGAAUUGCAGAAUCCCGUGAACCAUCGAGUCUUUGAACGCAAGUUGCGCCCGAAGCCAUCAGGUUGAGGGCACGUCUGCCUGGGCGUCACAUAUCGUUGCCCAAUGCCUAUUGCAGUGCAAUAGGAAUUUCUAGGGCGAAUGAUGGCUCCCCGUGAGCGUUGUUGCCUCGCGGUUGGUUGAAAAUCGAGUCCUUGGUAGGGUGUGCCAUGGUAGAUGGUGGUCGAGUUAGAACGAUACCGAUCAUGUGCAUGCUCCCCAAAAUAUGGCCUCUAUGACCCACACGCGUCUUUUGACGCUCAUGACGAGACCUCAGGUCAGGCGGGGCUACCCGCUGAAUUUAAGCAUAUCAAUAAGCGGAGGA
rnacentral:misc_RNA from 1 species